ACGGGUGAGUAACGCGUGGAUAUCUGCCUUUUGGUUCGGAAUAACCCCGGGAAACUGGGGCUAAUACCGGAUGGUUCCUUCGGGAUAAAGAUUUAUCGCCAAAAGAUGAGUCCGCGUCCGAUUAGCUAGUUGGUGAGGUAAUGGCUCACCAAGGCGACGAUCGGUAGCUGGUCUGAGAGGACGAUCAGCCACACUGGGACUGAGACACGGCCCAGACUCCUACGGGAGGCAGCAGUGGGGAAUAUUGGACAAUGGGGGCAACCCUGAUCCAGCCAUGCCGCGUGAGUGAUGAAGGCCUUCGGGUCGUAAAGCUCUUUUGGCGGGGACGAUGAUGACGGUACCCGCAGAAUAAGCCCCGGCUAACUUCGUGCCAGCAGCCGCGGUAAGACGAAGGGGGCUAGCGUUGUUCGGAAUUACUGGGCGUAAAGCGAGUGUAGGUGGUUGUCCAAGUUGGAUGUGAAAGCCUUGAGCUCAACUCAAGAAAUGCAUUCAGGACUGGGCGGCUAGAGGACCGGAGAGGAUAGUGGAAUUCCCAGUGUAGUGGUGAAAUACGUAGA
rnacentral:rRNA from 1 species